GCCACAGUUGGAACAGGGACCUCAUCCUACAGAGAGUGUUUGUGGUCACUCAUCAACCAGAGCAUAGUGCAGGAGAGGAGUAAACACCUCUCCUUAGAUCGCAUACCUUGGAAGAAUUGAAAACUCACAGAUCCCCAGAAGUAUCUCUGAAACCAGCUCCACAAAACCCCUAAAACUUGGGACAAUGCAUCCUCCAUCCUGGAAGCACAACGAUACUUUAACAAAGAAUUAAAAGUCAACUAGCCUGGGGAAAUGAGUUUGAGGGGAUGGUGAAGUCAAGUGAUUUCUUCUGCUUCUUGUCUGACCAAUUCUUCUCAGUCUUCUUCAUAGGAUCAUCUAUGGAUAUGUAUACCCCAGAGUUUUAGCUUUAAAUCAGUGUUACAAAAUUCCAAGAAAAAGACAGUAUCCAGAAUAUGGAAUGGUUCAUACUCAACAAGGAUGAGAAUUGAGAAAAAUCCAUAAGAUUUAUUGAUAAAGAUAUUGUUGAUGACCUCAAGCAUUUCCAGUUGCAUAAUGGAGACAGAAAGCAGAUUGUAAAAAGAGGAGGUCCUUUGCCUUCUGGCUGUACAGCCAAAUAACCCAUCAGAAACCCAAAAUAAGAUUGAGUCACCAGGAUGAAAAGGGAAAUAGAUUUCAGAAAGACAUUGAUUGUCCUGAGCCAAUCUCACGGAGCUCUCAAGUGCUUUGUGCGGAGGAAGCCAACAACAUUGAUGAAUAUAAAUAGGCCAAGCAAGUGACAGACCUUGCCUCAGAGUGAUUUUCCAAGUAAAGGGGGAAGCCAAGGCCCCCCACUCCUCCUUGACCACCCUGACCCUGCAAUGAAUCAUCGCUUUCUGGUCCUGCUACACCACCAGAUUCGUUGGGAAGGAAAAGGCAGUCCACUGCCUUUUAGGGGCAAAACAUCUUCUGUAAAUGACUGAGUCGGGACUCAUUCAAAUACUCCUGGAUCUAUUCCCAAGGAUACAGUCAACAAGGCUACUUUUUGCAGUUGUAUAUGACCUUUCCUGCACAGGGCUGAAGAACUUUCUGUAUACUUUUCACAGCUGGGCUAUGAGAUAAUUCAGAGGCAGGCUUCAGCUGGCAACAGUCCACAAAACUUCAAAAUGAAUUUCAACAUUGUCAAAGUUCAAGUGGCAAACUGAGGCACAAAAGGAAUGAAAACCUUGGAUUCAGUGUCAGAUUAGUUCUUUGUGAAUUUAUUACAUAAGAAAAGUGUACUUUUCCUGAACUGACCAGAAUCUAGGGAAAAUAUCAUAGAUAGUAUUUAUCUCACACAUACUAUAUUUCAUUAAUGAGUUAAUACCUUUUACUUUUUCAUCCACAGCCAUACCUACUCUUCAUUGACCAAGGCCUAUCAUCAGUAAUUUAAUCAAUCAGUCAAUAAACAUUUAUUGUUCACCUAC